rnacentral:rRNA from 1 species
UGCCCAGUGACAACCGUUAAACGGCCGCGGUAUCCUGACCGUGCAAAGGUAGCAUAAUCACUUGUUCUCUAAAUAGGGACUUGUAUGAAUGGCCACACGAGGGUUUUACUGUCUCUUGCUUCCAA